CAUGAACCCUUAUUCUCAUCUUCUUCCUUGAGAAACCUUUAACCGAUUGGGAGAAUUAGGGUUUUUGAACUUACGAUUUAUAGUUCUGAAAUCUGAAAUCAGAGAGAGUUAGGGUUUUGGCGAUCGAUUCCGCGUGGCCAUUAUUGAAGUCUUGAAGAUCGACCCUUAUUCUCAUCUUCUUCCUUGAGAAACCAUUAACCGAUUGGGAGAGUUAGGGGUUUUGAACUUGCGAUUUAUGGUUCUGAAAUCUAAAAUCGGAAGGAGUUAGGGUUUUCAUGAUCGAUUCUGCGUCGCCAUUGUUGAAGUCUUGAAGAUUGAUAACUCCCAUCUCUGAAAUCGCGUUUAGGUUCCAGAUUUCCACCUCUCUAUUCUAGAUUUCCGCCACUCUAUUCUGCGAUUGGGUUGAAGUCCUGAAGAUCGAUUACUCCAAGGCUAAGAAAUGAGCAGCUUGGAAGUCAAUCUGAUAUAAGCAAUUCUCAAAGAAUGACCAGAUCAGCAACUUCUACAAUGACCAUUGAGUUGAGUAUGCAAUCCAAGGUUAAUGCACAACUACAAGCUAAGGAAGCCAAAAUGAAAGCAAGGGAACAGAGGAAGAAGACAGCUAUUGGGGGAGUGGAAUGCAAUAGAGAUAGAAUGUAAUGAAGAUUUAAUUAGAUUAGAUGGUCAAUAGUGAAUGUUUGUAAUGUUAAUGAAAACUUUUUCUUGGUUGAUGGGUUUGAUGUUUAAGACAAUACUUGUACUACUCUUUUUGGGUUUGAUGUUCUUAUGGAUGUGUAAACCUUGUUUGACUUUUUAGUGAAAUGUUUAUAGA